rnacentral:rRNA from 1 species
GAUGAACGCUAGCUACAGGCUUAACACAUGCAAGUCGAGGGGAAACGAUAGAGAAAGCUUGCUUUUUCUAGGCGUCGACCGGCGCACGGGUGAGUAACGCGUAUCCAACCUGCCCAUCACUUGGGGAUAACCUUGCGAAAGUAAGACUAAUACCCAAUGAUAUCUCUAGAAGACAUCUGAAGGAGAUUAAAGAAUUAUCGGUGAUGGAAGGGGAUGCGUCUGAUUAGCUUGUUGGCGGGGUAACGGCCCACCAAGGGGACGAACAGUAGGGGUUCUGAGAGGAAGGUCCCCCACAUUGGAACUGAGACACGGUCCAAACUCCUACGGGAGGCAGCAGUGAGGAAUAUUGGUCAAUGGGCGAGAGCCUGAACCAGCCAAGUAGCGUGCAGGAUGACGGCCCUAUGGGUUGUAAACUGCUUUUAUAAGGGAAUAAAGUGAGUCUCGUGAGACUUUUUGCAUGUACCUUAUGAAUAAGGACCGGCUAAUUCCGUGCCAGCCGCCGCGGUAA